rnacentral:lncRNA from 1 species
CCCGCCGCUGCCGCGUUGACCGGUCCUGCCAGCGUGGAUAAGUGGCAGCGCCCCGCCACGAAGUCGUUUCCCCGCACCGAAAGCGUAUUCCCGAAAUACGCUUUCCUUAACCGAAAGCGUAUUCGCUUCCUAUUCGAGCCAGUGUGCGCUUUCCUCCCGGGAAAGCAUAUUUCUGAGAAAGGCGCGUUCAGUUUUUCCUCCAGGGGCAUGUUUGCUGAAAAACUUUCACCGAUAGGUCCCUGAACUUCAACCCUGCGUAUCUCGACAACCGUAACUCCGAUUGAGGUGAAGCCAACGCUCACGUCUUCAUCUAGUCGAACUCUUUCCGUUGGUAUCAUUUUCAUUAUGUUUUCACACAAUGAAAAUGACCACUUUGCCCUUGCCUAUAAACAGCCCCCUCCGAGAGAGAACUGUUUCCGGCAAAUCUUUCCGCGAUCGUUCCACACUUUUUCCCGGAGUAAUCCUAGACCCCAGGCAAGCCAACCUCUUAUCAUGAGCCCCGAACUUGCAUGUUGACUUUGCUUGCACCUCGCGUGUGUGCUUAGUUGCAGUAGUUUCUUGUCUGUUUCGUCUGCUAUUAUUUCAGUCGUGCUAAAUAGUUUUGUUAUCUGCCUUGCAUGCUUGAGUUUUCAUUAAAUAAGUUGCCAUGCUAGUUUAAUGUUGUUACUGAUAAUAUCAUGCCUCUAUUUAGUUUCAUGUCAGUAGUAUCGUUAUUAUGUUGCACUGAUAAGAUUGCUAGUACAUGGUAUUGCCAUGUUUCAUAUGAUAUCACAGUUACUUGAAAUGCUUGAUGUUUUGUUACUGCAUUGGUAGGUUGCAUGUUAAUUGUUGCAUUCCUGUUAAUAAUGCUUGCAUGAUGAUUGAUGAUGGUGAAGUUAAGAAUAUGACUUAAUAACAAACCUCCUCCGUCAUCACUGGGAUAUCAUAGUGCCACUCCAAUCGAGCUUUCUCCAGUGCAACCACGCUUACCUAAUGGGAAGGUCCUAGCUGGGUCUAUUGUCAUGCCUCUCACCGAUGCCUCCCGCGAGGGAAGGUUAUGGGCGCGCGCUACCCUGAUCAGGUAGGCGGACAUAACCUUGUGUGCUCGUUUUUUUUUAUGGUACCUUGUCCCCGUUUGGGACCGUUUUGCCACGACAGUGGCCGUUGGUGUCUUUGGUAGACACGGGGCCACCCAGGACUGAACCCCAAGGGGGUGUUGGUCGGAGUGGCCGGGAGAGCAUCAUGGCAGUAGCUCGGUUUUGUCGGAACGCCGUGUCCGCAUGUAUGGGAGUGCGAGACCAGGGUUCCGUAGUGUGGGUAAAGUGCGCUACCUCUGCAGAGUGUAUUCAAUCUAUCGAUAGCCGCGUCCUCGGUCAUGGGCACAGGUUCGUAGUAGGUCACACUAUCGGGUCUCGGUCGAAAUGGAGGAUAAAUCAGCUAAUAAAUUAUGUGAUAACUAAUGUGAUGGCUUGGACUAUGAAAUAAUUGUGAGAAGUCACGAUGAUGUGUUGAUAUGACCCCGAGACGAGGUCUCGGUAAGUCAUGAUUGUGCUCCGAGGAGCCGUGGCAGAGUAAGUGAUUGUGGCAUAAGGUUAUUACAACAUGUCUUCACGGGAGGUAACUGGUAGUUUAUUUUUAGCAUAGUUUCAUGAUGUCAUGCCCUGUUUUGAUAUGCUAUGCUUUGCAUGAUAGAAGUAAGUUUGAUAUGCCAUGAUAGUUGAUGCUAUGAUGUUGUUCAUGCCUAGUUUGAAUUAUGAUUCUAGUUAAUAUCAUGCCAUGCUUAGAAGUUGUGUUGAUGUAGACUGUUGCAUAUGCUUGGUUCUUGCUUUGUCUUCUGUUUGUUUGGAUGCUAUGUAUUUGGUUGUCUUGCAAGUACAUUCAAUGUACUGACCGGCGUGUCAUGCCAGUUUUGUAGGUCGUACCGAAUUGUUCGCUUGAUCCGUCGUGCUAGGCCGUAAUCUUGCCAGUCCUGUGAGUUGUGGAGCCCAGCCUAGAUGAGAUGUUGCCAAACCAAGACUUCCGUCGCCAUUUAAAUAGACUUCCGCUGCCAUCCGUAUAGCCUUAGGGCUAUGCCAGAUAAUUGUAUUCAUCCAUGAUGUAAUCAUAUACACAUGUAUUUGAUGAAUAUUAUUGUACCUGGAAUGCUGUAUAAUGGACCUGUCGUGUGUUAGGCGUAAUCCUGGGCUGACGUGCGAAGGCCCCCUGCUCCAUGCAGAUCGGGGUGCCACACUUUCCUGGGCGGGUCAUACCCAAUAGUUAUAUCCCCAACAUUAGGCCCCAGGUUGAUUUGAACUUGUUCAUGUCAAUCUUCAACACUUAGAAAAAAUCCUUCUUCACUUGUUCUUGCAAGAUAUUGUAACCCGCCAUGACGUCAUCUCCUGGAUUUAUGGAAACCCGCCAUGAUG